GGCAUUUCCUCGCACCGAAGGAGGCGGAGGGGCAGACGUCCUAUCUAUCGGAUUCGUGGCCGCGGUCACCUCGCUCGCGUUGGACAGCACUACAGCACCACAGCAGAGACCCUCAUCCUCCUUCUGUCAGACAAGGAGGUCAAUUGGAGCGAGUGCAGAGGGACGCUGGUGCGGUGAGGAAGCCUUGCUAUGCCUUUUCAAGGAGGGAAGAUCAAGCAACCAACCAGGUUUAGCGCUGACGCAGAUAUAAACUACGGGACUUGUACAACAUGAAGUUGGAUCUUGUGGUGCUCGAGUACAGGUUGAUCAACCUGUGAAGUAUCUUCAACAUUUAUGGGCGCUGGAACUAAAUUGGUGUCCUGGUCUGUUUCAGCAUUUGUUUCAGCAUAUUAACAAUCAGUUGAAAUCAAGAUG